AAGGGGAUAACACUUGGAAACAGGUGCUAAUACCGUAUAACAAUCGAAACCGCAUGGUUUUGAUUUGAAAGGCGCUUUCGGGUGUCGCUGAUGGAUGGACCCGCGGUGCAUUAGCUAGUUGGUGAGGUAACGGCUCACCAAGGCCACGAUGCAUAGCCGACCUGAGAGGGUGAUCGGCCACAUUGGGACUGAGACACGGCCCAAACUCCUACGGGAGGCAGCAGUAGGGAAUCUUCGGCAAUGGACGAAAGUCUGACCGAGCAACGCCGCGUGAGUGAAGAAGGUUUUCGGAUCGUAAAACUCUGUUGUUAGAGAAGAACAAGGAUGAGAGUAACUGUUCAUCCCUUGACGGUAUCUAACCAGAAAGCCACGGCUAACUACGUGCCAGCAGCCGCGGUAAUACGUAGGUGGCAAGCGUUGUCCGGAUUUAUUGGGCGUAAAGCGAGCGCAGGCGGUUUCUUAAGUCUGAUGUGAAAGCCCCCGGCUCAACCGGGGAGGGUCAUUGGAAACUGGGAGACUUGAGUGCAGAAGAGGAGAGUGGAAUUCCAUGUGUAGCGGUGAAAUGCGUAGAUAUAUGGAGGAACACCAGUGGCGAAGGCGGCUCUCUGGUCUGUAACUGACGCUGAGGCUCGAAAGCGUGGGGAGCAAACAGGAUUAGAUACCCUGGUAGUCCACGCCGUAAACGAUGAGUGCUAAGUGUUGGAGGGUUUCCGCCCUUCAGUGCUGCAGCUAACGCAUUAAGCACUCCGCCUGGGGAGUACGACCGCAAGGUUGAAACUCAAAGGAAUUGACGGGGGCCCGCACAAGCGGUGGAGCAUGUGGUUUAAUUCGAAGCAACGCGAAGAACCUUACCAGGUCUUGACAUCCUUUGACCACUCUAGAGAUAGAGCUUCCCCUUCGGGGGCAAAGUGACAGGUGGUGCAUGGUUGUCGUCAGCUCGUGUCGUGAGAUGUUGGGUUAAGUCCCGCAACGAGCGCAACCCUUAUUGUUAGUUGCCAUCAUUCAGUUGGGCACUCUAGCAAGACUGCCGGUGACAAACCGGAGGAAGGUGGGGAUGACGUCAAAUCAUCAUGCCCCUUAUGACCUGGGCUACACACGUGCUACAAUGGGAAGUACAACGAGUUGCGAAGUCGCGAGGCUAAGCUAAUCUCUUAAAG
rnacentral:rRNA from 1 species